UACGGAGGGAGCUAGCGUUGUUCGGAAUUACUGGGCGUAAAGCGCGCGUAGGCGGCUUUGUAAGUUAGAGGUGAAAGCCCGGAGCUCAACUCCGGAACUGCCUUUAAAACUGCAUCGCUUGAAUCCAGGAGAGGUGAGUGGAAUUCCUGGUGUAGCGGUGAAAUGCGCAGAUAUCAGGAAGAACACCCGUGGCGAAGGCGGCUCUCUGGGACGGUACUGACGCUGAGACGCGAAAGCGUGGGGAGCGAACAGG
rnacentral:rRNA from 1 species